AAACAUCCCUAAAAUCAUUCUAACUAAUUAGGAAUACAAAUAUUUACCUAAACAGGAAUAUAAACCCUACACUAAAUAGCUCUACUACUUAGGAAUAUAAAUUUCUACCUAAAUAGAAUUAUAUAAAAAACAUAUUGACUUUCAUAAUACUUCCCCUUAAGUUGGAGCAUGGAAUAUCAUAAAUUCCAACACUUUCCCUUGAUGAGAUUCUUAUUGAAG
rnacentral:misc_RNA from 1 species